rnacentral:rRNA from 1 species
GAUGAACGCUGGCGGCGUGCCUAAUACAUGCAAGUCGAGCGAACAGAUGAAGAGCUUGCUCCUCUGACGUUAGCGGCGGACGGGUGAUUAACACGUGGAUAACCUACCUAUAAGACUUGGAUAACUUCGGGAAACCUGAGCUAAUACCGGAUAAUAUAUUGAACCUCAUGGUUCAAUAGUGAAAGACGGUUUUGCUGUCACUUAUAUAUGGAUCCGCGCCGCAUUAGCUAGUUGGUAAGGUAACGGCUUACCAAGGCAACGAUGCGUAGCCGACCUGAGAGGGUGAUCGGCCACACUGGAACUGAGACACGGUCCAGACUCCUACGGGAGGCAGCAGUAGGGAAUCUUCCGCAAUGGGCGAAAGCCUGACGGAGCAACGCCGCGUGAGUGAUGAAGGUCUUCGGAUCGUAAAACUCUGUUAUUAGGGAAGAACAAAUGUGUAAGUAACUAUGCACGUCUUGACGGUACCUAAUCAGAAAGCAACGGCUAACUACGUG